GACGAACGCUGGCGGCGUGCUUAACACAUGCAAGUCGAACGGAAAGGCCCUGCUUUUGUGGGGUGCUCGAGUGGCGAACGGGUGAGUAACACGUGAGUAACCUGCCCUUGACUUUGGGAUAACUUCAGGAAACUGGGGCUAAUACCGUAUAGGAGCUCCUGCUGCAUGGUGGGGGUUGGAAAGUUUCGGCGGUUGGGGAUGGACUCGCGGCUUAUCAGCUUGUUGGUGGGGUAGUGGCUUACCAAGGCUUUGACGGGUAGCCGGCCUGAGAGGGUGACCGGCCACAUUGGGACUGAGAUACGGCCCAGACUCCUACGGGAGGCAGCAGUGGGGAAUAUUGCACAAUGGGCGGAAGCCUGAGGCAGCAACGCCGCGUGCGGGAUGACGGCCUUCGGGUUGUAAACCGCUUUCGCCUGUGACGAAGCGUGAGUGACGGUAAUGGGUAAAGAAGCACCGGCUAACUACGUG
rnacentral:rRNA from 1 species